ensembl:snRNA U7 U7 small nuclear RNA
UAGUGUUACAGCUCUUUUAGAAUUUGUCUAGCAGCUUUUCCAGGAAAACCCCU